AGCUACUGUACAUAUAACGCAGCUACCGCCGGGCUAUGCGUUUUCCCACGACGUCAACUUUCCAUAUCUCUCACCUGUUAGUCCCUCUCAGUUAAUCUAUAUGCCUGUCUCAAAAAAAAAGGAUACACAGUGUGUUAUAGUGUGUGCAAGAAGUCUCUUAUGAUCUAUAUUCACCAGAGACGCAUGUUAAAGUGUGUAUCAUACAGUGUGAACUAUAAAGUGUCUACUACAAAGUGUGUACUAUAAGAUCCCUUACUCUCUAUAUCCACCUGAGACGCAUGCUCUGAGUGAACUAUAAAGUGUGAACUAUAAAGUGUCUACUACAAAGUGUGUACUAUAAGAUCCCUUACUGUCUAUAUCCACCUGGCAGGCCCCUGGGUUCUCUAUAUGGCUCUCCUCGGUCUUGAAGAUGUUCUCGAUGUCCUUCAUGGUCAGGUGGUCGCAGAACGUACGCACGCACAGACAAACAGGAACUGUUGAUUUAUGUUUUUCACCCCAAUGGAUAUGGUUACGAUUUGGAAAUGCAGCCUGACUUCCAUCAGAACCUUCAAAGAGACAGAUGAAGGUGAUAUGAAGCCUGGGGGAUUGGUGAUGAUACUAGGCUAGAGUCCAAAACAUCUCAGAGGAGGAACGAUGGCAACAGGCAUCAUAGUGAUCAGCUGGGAUCCACAGAUACAACAUGGACUGACAAUCAAAUGCGUGUGCCCACUAGUGAUACUGCAAUGUAAGCAUCAUCAAAGGGACAUACUAUCUAAAGUCUUCAACCACAUGUGACAGAUUGCACACCUGGGACCUAGAGACUCUGGAAAGCCAAGAGGCGACUUGAGAUGGAAUAUAAUAGCAAUCCAUAAAUCUACUGAACCCAAGAAAACACGUCAGUUUUUAAGUUGAGUUACUAUCUGAAAUGUCAUCAUGUCAAAUAGUGCUUGUUCAUAGAGCUGGUCAUCAUUCAAAGACAGUGUUAUAAUUGUAGGUCUUGUGUAAUUUUCACUCAUCAAUAGUUGUGCAUUAAUAUACUUUAUUUAUGUGAAAUACCAUCCCACAACAGACAGACAUCUGGUAUGAUCAAUGAACAUAUGUCACAGGGGGCGGAAAAUAUACAGUAACAUGUUUUUGCAAGAUCCAGAAACAUUGAGUAUCAAAUUACAAUACAAUGAAUGGAACAAGAACAUUCAGUAGACUCAACAUUUAUACAUUACAACACGUUUUGUUUCACCUGUAAAAGAAAAUAAAUAUUUGACUGGUUUCUAUUUCUGUACA